rnacentral:rRNA from 1 species
AACGAACGCUGGCGGCAUGCCUAACACAUGCAAGUCGAACGAGACCUUCGGGUCUAGUGGCGCACGGGUGCGUAACGCGUGGGAACCUGCCCUUAGGUUCGGAAUAACUCCCCGAAAGGGGUGCUAAUACCGGAUAAUGUCUUCGGACCAAAGAUUUAUCGCCUUUGGAUGGGCCCGCGUUGGAUUAGCUAGUUGGUAGGGUAAAAGCCUACCAAGGCGACGAUCCAUAGCUGGUCUGAGAGGAUGAUCAGCCACACUGGGACUGAGACACGGCCCAGACUCCUACGGGAGGCAGCAGUGGGGAAUAUUGGACAAUGGGCGAAAGCCUGAUCCAGCAAGGCCGCGUGAGUGAUGAAGGCCUUAGGGUUGUAAAGCUCUUUUACCCGGGAUGAUAAUGACAGUACCGGGAGAAUAAGCUUCGGCUAACUCCGU